rnacentral:rRNA from 1 species
UACGUAGGGUGCAAGCGUUAUUCGGAAUUACUGGGCGUAAAGCGUGCGCAGGCGGCUUUGCAAGUCAGAUGUGAAAUCCCCGGGCUUAACCUGGGAACUGCAUUUGUGACUGUAUGGCUGGAGUGCGGCAGAGGGGGAUGGAAUUCCGCGUGUAGCAGUGAAAUGCGUAGAUAUGCGGAGGAACACCGAUGGCGAAGGCAAUCCCCUGGGCCUGCACUGACGCUCAUGCACGAAAGCGUGGGGAGCAAACAGG